ensembl:rRNA 5S_rRNA 5S ribosomal RNA
GUCUAGGGUCAUACCAUCCUGAAUGCGCCUAAUCUCAUUUGAUUUCAGAAGCUAAUUAAGUAGGGUUAAGACUGGUUAAUACUUGGGUGGGAGACCACCUGAGAAUACUGGGUGCUGUAGGCU